rnacentral:rRNA from 1 species
GGUUGAUCCUGCCAGUAGUCAUAUGCUUGUCUCAAAGAUUAAGCCAUGCAUGUCUAAGUAUAAAUAACUUUUAUAUUGUGAAACUGCGAAUGGCUCAUUAAAUCAGUUAUGAUCUACGUGACAAAUUCUUUACUACUUGGAUAACCGUGGUAAUUCUAGAGCUAAUACAUGCAAAAAAGCCCUGACUUACGAAGGGGUGCACUUAUUAGAUAAAACCAACGCGGGGUAAAACCUGUUUCUUGGUGAAUCAUAAUAAUUAAGCGGAUCGCAUAGCCUUGUGCUGGCGACGGUC